rnacentral:rRNA from 1 species
GACGAACGCUGGCGGCGUGCUUAACACAUGCAAGUCGAACGGUGACGAGGAGCUUGCUCCUCUGAUCAGUGGCGAACGGGUGAGUAACACGUGAGCAACCUGCCCCAGACUCUGGGAUAACAGUUGGAAACAGCUGCUAAUACCGGAUACGAGACGGAGAGGCAUCUCUACCGUCUGGAAAGUUUUUCGGUCUGGGAUGGACUCGCGGCCUAUCAGCUAGUUGGUGAGGUAAUGGCUCACCAAGGCGACGACGGGUAGCCGGCCUGAGAGGGCGACCGGCCACACUGGGACUGAGACACGGCCCAGACUCCUACGGGAGGCAGCAGUGGGGAAUAUUGCACAAUGGGCGAAAGCCUGAUGCAGCGACGCCGCGUGAGGGAUGACGGCCUCGGUUGGUUAACGUACUUCUACGUCAGGAAGGAAGGACGGAAACGUAGAACGGUACCGUACGGUCGACGAAGAAGGACACCGGCCGUAACGUAACCGUUACGGACCGACGACAACGGCCGCCGGUAAAACGGUAACGGUUA